rnacentral:rRNA from 1 species
CUACGGGUAGUUGGUGGAUGCCUUGGCGCUAGGAGCCGAUGAAGGACGUGAUGGUCUGCGAAAAGCCUCGGGGAGUUGACGAAUAAGCGUUGAUCCGGGGAUGUCCGAAUUGGGAAACCAGGCUGGGGUAAUGCCCAGUCAUUCCGGUCUGAACACAUAGGGCCGGCAAAGGAAACCGAGGGAAUUGAAACAUCUCAGUACCUCGAGGAAUGGAAAACAACAGUGAUUCCCUGAGUAGCGGCGAGCGAAACGGGAAGAGCCCAAACCAGUGCGGUGUGAUAGGUCGACGCCGUUGCCGUGCUGGGGUUGUGGGACUCGUCAGAGGGGUCGUCGAACCCUUCAGAGAGUUACAAACUCACCAGAUAGCCGAAUUCGACUGGAAAGUCGAGCCACAGGAGGUAACAGCCCCGUAGGUGAAAUCUGUGUGAGCUCUCGAUGAUGUUCCCAAGUAGCACGGGGCACGUGAAAUCCCGUGUGAAUCUGCCAGGACCACCUGGUAAGGCUAAAUACUACCUAGCGACCGAUAGCGGAUCAGUACCGUGAGGGAACGGUGAAAAGUACCCCGGUGAGGGGAGUGAAACAGUACCUGAAACCAAUUACUUACAAGCAGUAGGAGGGAUCGCAUUCAUUGCGGUCCUGACUGCCUGCCUUUUGAAGAAUGAGCCUACGAGUUAUCGAUGUGUGGCAAGGUUAAGCCGAGAGGUGUAGCCGCAGCGAAAGCAAGUCUUAAUAGGGCGCCAAGUCGCAUGUCAUAGACCCGAAGCCGAGUGAUCUAUCCAUGGACAGGGUGAAGCGAGGGUAAGACCUCGUGGAGGCCCGAACCCACCUAGGUUAAAAACUGGGGGGAUGAUCUGUGGAUAGGGGUGAAAGGCCAAUCAAACUCGGCGAUAGCUGGUUCUCCUCGAAAUAGCUUUAGGGCUAGCGUUGUAUGUUCCGCCUUGGGGGUAGAGCACUGAUUGGGUUAGGGGGCCAACAAGCUUACCGACCCCAGUCAAACUCCGAAUCCCAGGGCGCCAAGUACAGCAGUCAGACCAUGUGGGAUAAGCUUCAUGGUCGAAAGGGAAACAGCCCAGACCGCCAGUUAAGGUCCCAAAAUCAUGACUAAGUGGGGAACGAUGUAGGGUUGCCCAAACAGCCAGGAGGUUGGCUUAGAAGCAGCCAUCCUUUAAAGAGUGCGUAACAGCUCACUGGUCGAGUGAUCCCGCGCGGAUGAUGUAACGGGGCUCAAGUCAUGUACCGAAACUGCGGAUUCACGCUUUAACCCAGGCCUUCGUGGUCCAGGGGGCGUGAAUGGUAGAGGAGCGUCGAGUGUCCAUCGAAGCGGCGGCGUAAGCCAGUCGUGGAGGGCACUCGAGUGAGAAUGUAGGCAUGAGUAGCGAAUGAAGAGUGAGAAUCUCUUCCGCCGAAUGUCCAAGGUUUCCUGGGGAAGGCUCGUCCGCCCAGGGUUAGUCGGGACCUAAGGUGAGGCCGAAAGGCGUAAUCGAUGGAUAACAGGUUGAUAUUCCUGUACUACCCAAGACGCGUCCAGACCGAACUACGUUUGCUAAGGAAAGCCCUUCGGGGCCUACCGACCCAGCGUGUAUUAGGUGAGCAAUGGAGUGACACAGAAGGGCAAGUGGACCCGGGCGAUGGUUGACCCGGGGUAAGUGCGUAGGCUGAGCUCCAGGUUAAUCCGGAGCUCGUGAAGGCUGAGACACGAUGCCGAGCCGCUAUUAGGCGAAGCCACCUCACCCAUGCUGUCAAGAAAAGCUUCUAGCGAGUUUCUUGGGUACCCGUACCCCAAACCGACACAGGUGGACAAGUAGAGAAUACUAAGGCGAGCGAGAAAACUCUGGUUAAGGAAUUCGGCAAAAUGGAUCCGUAACUUCGGGAGAAGGAUCGCCCCGGUAGGGUGUAGGACCUCGCGUCCGAAGCCUGAUGGGGUUGCAGAAACCAGGCCCAAGCGACUGUUUAUUAAAAACACAGGAGGGUGCUAAGUCGUAAGACGACGUAUACCCUCUGACGCCUGCCCGGUGCUAGAAGGUCAAGUGGAUCGGUUAGCUCUUUUGAGCGAAGCUGUGAAAUCAAGCCCUAGUAAACGGCGGCGGUAACUAUAACCGUUAAACAGAAAACUGAAUGGCGGUUACAAAACCUGGCUAUAUGCUGGAACAUCCGAGCAUCCGGCGGUACUCGUUCAUGUCACAGGUGUGUGAUACAUCUGGAGCAUGAGCAGUGAAAAUCCGUCCGGUGCGGACAAUCAGCAGGAAACCAAAGACACGACGCAGCAGCUCGAUCCGAGCUGGAUCGUUGGGUUUGUUGAUGGAGAGGGGUGCUUUUCAGUAAGCAUCCACCGAAAUCGGCGAUACGCCCGACGCACGCGAGGCUGGCAACUCACGCCAGUCUUUGCGGUGUACCAGCACGAGAAAGAGCGAAGAUUGCUUGAGCGCAUGCGCGACCAUUUCGGUUGUGGCAAGCUCUAUCACAAAGGUCCGAACAGUUCUGUUGUCACCUACUCGGUGGCCAGGAUCACGGACCUUGAACUACGGAUUAUUCCGUUCUUCGAGAAGCACCGGUUGCUCGUGAAGGAUGACGACUUCAUUCGUUUCGCAGAGAUCGUGAGAUCGAUGCGGCGAAAGGAGCACUUUCAUCCGGAUCGCUUCGAAACACUCGUCCGGCUUGCCUACGCCAUGAACGGUCAUGGCAAACAGCGAGCUCGGCCGAUCGAAGCAAUCCUGCAGGGAUCCUCAGAGACUGUACGCCAGGCCCCUCCGUGAGUGGAGGGGAUGAUACAGUCCGAUCCUCAUGGCGACAUGGGGAGUCAGGCAGAAAUGCCCUGACCAGUUCUGUGCGGGCCGUCCCCGCAUCGACAUAACAGAACGAGUAACAAGAAUGCCUAAGGUAGCGAAAUUCCUUGUCGGGUAAUUGAAUUGCCCGUCAGUGGAGGUGACUCCACUUAUCAAACCCACUCAUAACGGCGAAGCCCACACCGACUGCUCGGCUCAAGGACCGAGCGAUAGUCGACGGGUAAUGCCGUGGGAAGUCCUCUGU